rfam:Bosea sp. WAO WAO_contig_1, whole genome shotgun sequence.
CCGCAGGGGUUCAUUCGCGACGACCCCGUGAGGCGUCAGCCCAAGGAUCGCGUCCAGUCUCCUAGCUUCCAGGAGGGACGCCAUG